UGGGGAAUAUUGGACAAUGGGCGCAAGCCUGAUCCAGCCAUGCCGCGUGCAGGAAGAAGGCGUUAUGCGUUGUAAACUGCUUUUUGCCAGGGGAUAAAAAGACCGUGCGCGGUUAAUUGAAGGUACCUGGUGAAUAAGCCACGGCUAACUACGUGCCAGCAGCCGCGGUAAUACGUAGGUGGCAAGCGUUGUCCGGAUUUAUUGGGUUUAAAGGGUGCGUAGGUGGCCCUGUAAGUCAGUGGUGAAAUAUCUCAGCUUAACUGAGAGGGUGCCAUUGAUACUGCAGGGCUUGAGUACAGAUGAGGUAGGCGGAAUUGACGGUGUAGCGGUGAAAUGCGUAGAUAUCAAGAGGAACACCUGAGGUGAAGACGGGUUGCUGGGCUGACACUGACGCUGAGGCGCGAAAGCCAGGGGAGCAAACGGGAUUAGAUACCCUUGUAGUCCCUGAGCGGGCUGGCAAGGCGCAU
rnacentral:rRNA from 1 species